AUUGAACGCUGGCGGCAGGCUUAACACAUGCAAGUCGAGCGGGGUGAUGGUGCUUGCACUAUCACUUAGCGGCGGACGGGUGAGUAAUGCUUAGGAAUCUGCCUAUUAGUGGGGGACAACAUCUCGAAAGGGAUGCUAAUACCGCAUACGUCCUACGGGAGAAAGCAGGGGAUCACUUGUGACCUUGCGCUAAUAGAUGAGCCUAAGUCGGAUUUGCUGGUUGGUGGGGUAAAGGCCUACCAAGGCGACGAUCUGUAGCGGGUCUGAGAGGAUGAUCCGCCACACUGGGACUGAGACACGUCCCAGACUCCUACGUGAUGCAGCAGUGGGGAAUAUUGGACAAUGGGGGGAACCCUGAUCCAGCCAUGCCGCGUGUGUGAAGAAGGCCUUAUGGUUGUAAAGCACUUUAAGCGAGGAGGAGGCUCUUUUGGUUAAUACCCAAGAUGAGUGGACGUUACUCGCAGAAUAAGCACCGGCUAACUCUGUGCCAGCAGCCGCAGUAA
rnacentral:rRNA from 1 species